rnacentral:rRNA from 1 species
GUCCACGCCGUAAACGAUGAGUGCUAGGUGUCGGGGGUAUUGACCCCUCCGGCGCCGAAGUUAACGCAUUAAGCACUCCGCCUGGGGAGUACGGCCGCAAGGCUAAAACUCAAAGGAAUUGACGGGGGCCCGCACAAGCGGUGGAGCAUGUGGUUCAAUUCGACGCAACGCGCAGAACCUUACCUGGGUUAAAUCCACCGGAACUCCGCAGAGAUGUAGAGGUGCCCGCAAGGGAGCCGGUGAGAAGGUGCUGCAUGGCUGUCGU